GGUGUUCUGCUCUUCUCGACAGGAAAUACAGACAUUCCCGGGGCCUUAUUGAUUCCUAAGGGAGCUGUCCCUGAGAAAGCCCGUGGGCUUUUUCAUAUGGCGCCCACCUACUUGUGUAGGUUCCCGGAAUCAGACUUUUCCAUCGGUCGCUGCGGUUCACCA
rnacentral:other from 2 species